UAAGAAAGCCGCAAGCGAGAAUCUUACCCGGAUCAAAACAAACCUGCCUAAAAGAUAUAAAAAACUUACUCGACCAGUAAAUGCCCGAAUAGAAAGUCAAGCAUCAUCUCCGACGCGGGCCAGAGGCGUCAGGGUUUAGCUCAUUUUUCAAUCAAGUGGGCUCGUCUGGGGGUAACCGAUUCAGAGAUGGGAGAAAGUCCUUCAAGGAAAGCAAUAAGAAGAAGCCUUGACGUUCUGUUCCACUAAAGCAGCUCUAACUCAAAGUCAAGAGGCUCUACUAGCUCUUUGGAUCGCAAGCUACCCUCGACUCUCUCUUCCAGAACUAAGACAAGAAAGCUAAUCCGCCGGAUCUCGANNNN
rnacentral:lncRNA from 1 species